CAUACGGAGAUGGUGGACUCCAGGUGGUUUUCUCUGAAAGUGCAGAAACCCUACAAGAUGCCCUUCCAAUUGGAUAACAGGCUACGCUUGUGAGGAGAUCCCAGUAAUCUCACAGAAGUUGUGAAAUGGCUCCAUUAAACAGACAUCUGCUCAGGGGGCCAGUGGAAGAGCCUCUUUUCCUUAUAAUGGAGGAAGAGGACAAGGAAAAGGCCCUCAACAAAUAUGAAGUGUCCUUCAUAUUUCAUCUUGUGUUCAGGGGAGUCAUUUUUGUAGGAUUGUCAUAACAAAAUGGGCCUAAGAGUGAAUUGUUCAGUUGAUACAUUUUAAUUUGAAUUCAUGCAAGAUUGUCACGGCAAAAUGUGCCCAAGAGUGAAUCGUUCAUUUUGUAAGUUUUCAUGCAGGAUUGUCAUGACAAAAUGGGCCUAAUAGUGAAUUGUUCAUUUUAUAAACUUCAA